rnacentral:rRNA from 1 species
AUGGAAUCCUUUGAGUUGGAGCUUGGUGAUCAGUGGCGUCGUGCUGGAGCUGGGCGGCCGCAUGAUCCCACCGGCGUCCCCCCGUCCAGAUUUCUUUGGGGCAGCAACUAUCCCCCCAUGCGUUUCACCUUCUCUGGCGAUGGCUCAACCAAGAAUACGCUGCAGUUCUUUUCAGUCAAAGUUGCAAAAAUUAACGAGAGCUUACAGUGGCCACUGGAUGUGUAUGGGUUCUUUUCCGUACGUGAUGUGGUGGAUCACAAACGCAACAUGAUCUUCUCCCGCGACAGGGAUAACUGCCAGACCAUCAGCCAAGAGGAUCCCUAUCUAACGCUGACAGGUCCAACCCGUGCUGUUGUGGUGACAUCAGAUCCUUUGUACUUUGAGAUUGAGCUGAAAGUGAAGGGCACUGCUGAAUCUGAGGAUAAAUAUUUAAGCCGCCUAAUUAUGACAUACAGGACAGGUUUUCUGGAUAGAAGUUUCACUAGUGGGCUUAGCACUCUGGAGAUGGCAUUCAAAGAGAUCAUCCAAUCUGUGGAGGCCACAAUCAGUGUAAAAGUCGUUGAUGGAUCAUGGCCAGAUGGUUUUCGUGGUGUAUUUUGUGCGAGCAUCGAUGACAUAGCUAGCUUGAAAGUCAAGUUGCUGGAAUGUGGAGAUGAUAGAUUGCCUCUUGAUGCUGAUGGCAACAUCAAGCUUAGAUGCAAGGUCGUUUCUGUUGGACUUGAGGGAUUGCUGAGGAUUUCUGUCAUGGCACAAUGUAUUAAUGGGGAUCAGGUUGUGGAGAGUCAUUGCAGAGAAGAUGUUAAGAGUCAUGAAGUAGUGUUUGAACCCAGGAGAUCGGGUACAAGCUCCAAUACUGAGCUUAAAAUUGGCUCUUGCAGAAUGGAAGUCACUGUGAGCUGGUCCCUGUUCUCUUAUCAGCUGUAA